UGGUAUAAUCAGGAUAACACCACUGGAGGUACAGGGCUGUAAGAAUUAGGCAUGACUAAUUCGAGGGAUCCAACCCCAUGACACCUGCUAGACCCACCUCCAAAACUGGGGAUCACAUUUCAACAUGAGAUUUGGAGGGGACAAACAUCUAAAGUAUAUCAAUAUAUCUGUGAGCUCCAUUAACUAUCCAAGUGGAGAUGUUGAGACUCCAGCCUGGGCAAGAGAGUGACACUCCGUCUCAAAAACAAAAACAAAACUGCAUAUUCAGUGCUGACCUAAAGAGCUUUAGCAUUUGGAGAAAUAACACCUGUUUUUAACAGGAUGAAUAUGGUAUGGAUUUCAUUCAACCACAAAGCCUCUUUUCGAUGCUUGAUCGGAGCCAAAAGGCUGAGAAGCAAUAGGACUCUUCUUUGGUUUUGUUUUUU
rnacentral:lncRNA from 1 species